ensembl:lncRNA novel transcript
ACAUCUGGAAAUGGAAAGCCGACCUCCCCCUCCUCCUCCACCUCCUCCUCCUCCUCCUCCUUCUCCUCCUCUCACCCAGGAUCACUUCCGAAACCACUUGGCCUUCAGCCCCUGCCUCGGCCAGAGGUUUCAUUUUUAACUGAAUAUUUACCAAAGCUGAAAGCGUGCGAGGGGGGUGGGGUGGAAAUAGCGGCUGCUUCUUUUCCAAGGAUUUAUUUAAUGGGGAUGUGUUCAAGGCAAGACCGAAUUCAGAAGGAUAUCGACGUCGUGAUCCAGAAGUCCAGAGCUGAGGACUGCCUGUUUGCAGAUUAGCAAUAAACUCCUUAAAACCCAAAGGUUUGGGCUUCUGUUCCUUUCACUUGCAGUCAGACAUGGAGUUAGUGGUAGAAGAAACAGAAGGGGUAACCUGCAUGGUGACAGCUACUGAGGGGAUGGAUAGGAAAGCAGGCUGAGUCCCUGGGGCCAGUGGUUACCAAAGCCAAGGAGAGAGCAAGGGGAGCCCAGUGGGCCUGGCCAUGGACUGCUCUGGAAUUCCGAGUGUGAACUUUCAGCCAAGAAGGAGCUUCUGUCUAGAUGAAUAGCAAAUGUGACACUGAUAAUAGUAAUCGAAUAUUCCUCCAAGUACAGGCUCCUUCCUCUUUCUCCUGGACCUUUGCACAUGCUGCCUGGAAAACUCACCCACAACCUACUUUCCAUCCUCUCCUUCGGCUCAUCCCUGCUCAGCCCUCUUUGUUGAGAUAUUUGCCAAGCCAGAUUCUCUGAGAAGCCUUUCCUGGCAUCUUCGUCUAUAUAAUUCUGCUAGUUGUUUCUAAAACUAUGUUGUUAGUGUAUAUUGUAAUCACCUAUUUAUGUCUGUUUGACUGUGAGCCUCUUGGAGAUGGGAAUUCUCUCCUAUGCAUUGCGGUUUCCCCAGGCCCUAGCACACUGUCUAGCCCAGUAUUCCUUCUCAGUAAGUAGGUGUUGAAUGACUUACAAAAUGAAUGCUAAAAGACCUGGUAGACAAGAAGGAAUUUCUUAGCCUAAAUGACCAGAUGUGGAGAAGAUACUCAAACACUUCAGGGUCCCCGAUCUGGUGAUGUCACUUGCAGUGGAAUUUCAUAUGAAUCCAGUGUGACAGAAGUUGCCUAGUCAAGUUGUAAGUCCUCUUCUCUGGGUCACAUGUUCAAAUACUUUUAGGAGACAGAUAAUGCAAUAUUUAAGAUACAGGAAGUGAUGAAGACUGUGGCACACUGGAGAGUUUGGACUCCAAGAGUAAUUAAUUCAGUUGAAAAAAUCAACAGCACUCUGUUGAUCAAGCAAACUUUCUAGGGGCCCUAAUCCACCUGGGCCUGCAGUAUGUAAUUCCAUAACUCAUGGGAUGCCAUCAAGAGAGACAAUCUACUUGAUUGCUAAAGGGCCUUUGUUUUCUUUGGAGUUCCCCAGGAAGGAGAAAUGUAUGUGUGUGCAGGGGUGAGGAGGGGGGAGAGUGAAGAAACAAUACUAUCCCCUUAAAAAGGUUUGUCAGUUUUCAUUAUGAAAGAAGACCAAACGUGCCCACUCCAGAAAUCUUGGCAUAUGCAGUUAUUUUGAAGCCAUUCAGCGUUCUUCAAGAUGUCACAAUGAAAAGAGUGAUGGUUUUUUAAAUAAAAAAUUAACAUGUUUCUCUUGGCAA